ACCGUCACCGGGCCGCCCUUUUUGAACGGCGGUCCUUUGUCCCUCACAACAGAGCUUUACGACCCGAAGGCCUUUUUUGGUCAAGGGGGGUCGGUCCGUCAGGCUUUUGCCCAUUGCGGAAGAUUCCCUACUGGUGCCUUCCGUAGGAGUUUGGGCCGUGUUUCAGUCCCAGUGUGGCCGGUCACCCUUUCAGGCCGGGUACGGAUUGUCGCCUUGGUGAACCGUUACCUCACCAACUAGGUAAUGGGCCGCGGGCCCAUCCGCAAGUGACAGCCAAAGGCCGCCUUUCAACCAAAGACCAUGCGGUCUUCGGUGUUAUCCGGUAUUAGCUCCGGUUUCCCGGAGUUAUCCCGGUCUUGCGGGCAGGUUGCCCACGUGUUACUCACCCGUCCGCCGCUGACCGAAUCAGAGCAAGCUCCAAUCCAGUCCGCUCGACUUGCAUGUAUUAGGCACGCGUGAUCAGCG
rnacentral:rRNA from 1 species